UACGGGGGGGGCAAGCGUUGUUCGGAAUUACUGGGCGUAAAGGGCUCGUAGGUGGCCAACUAAGUCAGACGUGAAAUCCCUCGGCUUAACCGGGGAACUGCAUCUGAUACUGGAUGGCUUGAGUUUGGGAGAGGGAUGCGGAAUUCCAGGUGUAGCGGUGAAAUGCGUAGAUAUCGGGAGGAACACCUGUGGCGAAGGCGGCUUUCUGGGCCUUACCUGACGCUGAGACGCGAAAGCGUGGGGAGCGAACCGG
rnacentral:rRNA from 1 species